GCUUCGGUCCCAGGCCUCCCUGCUCAUCUCGAGGAAGUUUCUCCAACGCUGCUCGCUACCAGGCGGAGGGCUAACGGGGAGCCGGGGCGGCAGGGGUUCGACCGGCCGGAGCGGACCCAGGUCCCCAGUGCCCCCCGCCCCCCGGGAGCCCGCGCCCGCCCGGCCCGCGGGCGAGCCCCGAACGCAGCGCAGGCGCCUCGCUUUGCGUCCCGCGCCGACGCGCCGGCAAGACCCGGGUCCCGCAGGCUUCGCGAGCGAAGGGCAGAGGGCACGAACCUAAGCGGAGGCUGCAGCCCUGCCGGCGCCCGGCCAAGCCCGGGAUGGACGCUCGGCGGCUCUGCCGGCUCCGCCACGCCCGGGCCCCGGGAGCCCCGUGUCCCCGGCCUGUGCACCGUGCCUCCACCUCCCCGCACGGAGCCCGCGUGGAAAACCGAGGGAGACCUGCCCCCCACGCCCCUUAAGCCCUCAGCUCCUGGGGCUCUGGCGCCCUCGUCCAGGGCGACCGGGAACCUCGCCGGGCCCGUCCGAGUCGCGCAGACGAGCCCCGGGGCGUGAGCGCUCCCUGCGCCGGGUCUGGGGCUGGCGGGCUGCGGAGCCGGGGCGUCGGAGUUCGGCUUUCCUCUCGCCACUUACCUUGCAAAGAUCUGUGUGAUUUUCCUGGGAGGGGGAGAGGCAAAGAAAAAAAAAAAAAUCCCUCCCCGAGGUGUGGUGUGCGGAACAGUCCACGUCCCCGGCCAAGAUGCUGAGCGCCAGGACUCAGGACCCGGAGGGGCUGGGAGGCGGAGGGGGAGGCAGAUAAAAGAAAAAAAGGAAAGGAAGAAGAAAAAGAAAUCGGCCGAAGUGUCCCAACUUUGCGGUGGGCGCUGCAAACUUCAAAGGCGGGCGAGGCUGGCGGCGCGCGGCCGCCGAAGUUGCCGCGAAGUGGAGCGCGGAGCAGCGCGGGCUGCGGGGGUCCCGGGACAGAGCGGGGAAGUGCGGGGCGUCCUCGCCAAAGGCGGGGAGCGCGCGGGGGCCCGGGCGGCGGGACCAGGCUGCCGCGCCGAGCCGGGCUGUCGCGGGCUCCGCGGGCGGCCGCUCGGGGCACCGGCGCCGGGCUGCAGGGCGACGCGAGGAGAGCCGGGCGCGCGGCGGAGGCGGGUGCGCGGCUCGGGUGGCUCCGCUCGCUCGCGGCUCCGAGCGGGGAGUGUGUGCGCUCCCGAGUGUCACCUCUGUAGCCCAGAGCUGCUCCCCCGCCCGCCCCCUCCCUCUUCUGCCCGCUGCCUCCCCCCGCAGUUCCUCCCUCUCUCCCUCCCUCCCGCUGCGCGCCACCGCGCGCGCGCGCAAACACACACACACACACACACGCACACACGCGCGCACACACACGCGCACACGCAUGCACGCGCGCGCGCGCCACGACCCAGCGCUCCCCGCACGGGGACCCUCGCGGGCCGCAUCACGAGGAACACUCCGCGGUCCUUAACCUCCCCGCCUGCCGCGGGCCCUCACUCGGGGAGCGCGGCCCCCUCGGCGCGCAGCGAGCCUCCUCCGGUUGGAAAACUCAGCAGCUGUUUUAACAAUUGA
rnacentral:lncRNA from 12 species